rnacentral:rRNA from 1 species
GUCUCUGGCCAUGCCACCCUGAACAUGCCCAACCUCGUCUGAUCUCGGAAGCUAAGCAGGGUUAGGCCUGGCUGGUACUUGGAUGGGAGGCCACCUAGGAAGACCAGGUGCUGUAAGCA